GACGAACGCUGGCGGCGUGCCUAAUACAUGCAAGUCGAACGCACUCUCGUUUAGAUUGAAGGAGUUUGCUCCUGAUUGAUAAACAUUUGAGUGAGUGGCGGACGGGUGAGUAACACGUGGGUAACCUGCCCUAAAGUGGGGGAUAACAUUUGGAAACAGAUGCUAAUACCGCAUAAAACCUAACACCGCAUGGUGUAGGGUUGAAAGAUGGUUUCGGCUAUCACUUUAGGAUGGACCCGCGGUGCAUUAGUUAGUUGGUGAGGUAAAGGCUCACCAAGACCGUGAUGCAUAGCCGACCUGAGAGGGUAAUCGGCCACCCUGGGACUGAGACACGGCCCAGACUCCUACGGGAGGCAGCAGUAGGGAAUCUUCCACAAUGGACGAAAGUCUGAUGGAGCAACGCCGCGUGAGUGAAGAAGGUUUUCGGAUCGUAAAACUCUGUUGUUGGAGAAGAAUGUAUCUGAUAGUAACUGAUCAGGUAGUGACGGUAUCCAACCAGAAAGCCACGGCUAACUACGUG
rnacentral:rRNA from 1 species